UACGGAGGGUGCAAGCGUUAAUCGGAAUUACUGGGCGUAAAGCGCACGCAGGUGGCUGAGUCAGUCGAUUGUGAAAGCCCUGGGCUUAACCUAGGAAUUGCAGUCGAUACUACUCAGCUAGAGUAUGGGAGAGGGCAGUGGAAUUCCCGGUGUAGCGGUGAAAUGCGUAGAGAUGUGGAGGAAUACCGAUGGCGAAGGCAGCCUCCUGGGAUAACACUGACGCUCAUGCACGAAAGCGUGGGGAGCAAACAGG
rnacentral:rRNA from 1 species